rnacentral:rRNA from 1 species
UGAAGUAAGUAAGGGCGUACGGUGAAUGCCUUGGUGCCAACAGGCGAAGAAGGACGCGGCAAGCUGCGAAAAGCCUCGGGAAGCUGCAAGCAAGCGAUGAUCCGGGGAUAUCCGAAUGGGGUAACCUGAUCGAGGCAAUACUCGAUCGUUCAUACCUGAAUACAUAGGGUAUGAAACGCGAAACCCGCUGAAGUGAAACAUCUCAGUAAGCGGAGGAAAAGAAAGAGAAAUCGAUUCCGUAAGUAGUGGCGAGCGAAAGCGGAUGGAGCCCAAACCGAAGGUAUUCCUUCGGGGUUGUAGGACCACGUCAUAUUCGACCAUACUGGAUAGUAGAACAGCCUGGAAAGGCUGGCCGUAGAAGGUGAAAGCCCUGUAGACGAAAUCCAGAGUGGGAAUUAGUGGUAUCCUGAGUAAUACAUCACACGUGGAACGAUGUAUGAACCCGCGCGGACCACCGCGCAAGGCUAAAUACUAGUUGGCGACCGAUAGUGAACAAGUACCGCGAGGGAAAGGUGAAAAGAACCGCUGUGAGCGGAGUGAAAUAGAACCUGAAACCGUAUGUCUACAAAGUGUCAGAGCAGAGCAAUCUGCGAUGGCGUGCCUUUUGUUUAAUGAGUCUGCGAGUCAGUGUUUGUGGCAAGACUAAGGGCUUCCGGCCCGGAGUCGCAGCGAAAGCAAGUCCGAACAGGGCGCAACAAGUCGCAGGUACUGGACCCGAAGCGGAGGUGACCUACCCUUGGCCAGGUUGAAGCAUGGGUAAAACCAUGUGGAGGACCGAACAGGUGAACGUUGAAAAGUUCUCUGAUGAGCUGAGGGUAGGAGUGAAAGGCUAAUCAAACCCCGUGAUAGCUGGUUCUCUUCGAAAUGCAUUUAGGUGCAGCGUCACGUGCUGAUGCGCGGGGGUAGAGCACUGACAAGGCUAGGGGGCACACCCGCUUACCAAACCUUAUCAAACUCCGAAUACCGUGCAAUGGAACGUGGCAGUGAGACAGUGGGGGAUAAGCUUCAUUGUCGAGAGGGAAACAACCCAGACCAGCAGCUAAGGUGCCUAAAUAACGCUCAGUGGAAAGGAUGUGGGAUUACACAGACAGUGAGGAUGUUGGCUUAGAAGCAGCCACCAUUUAAAAAAUGCGUAAUAGCUUACUCAUCGAGUGAUCCUGCGCCGAAAAUGAUUGGCGAUCAAGCGUUAUACCGAAGCUCUGGACUUUGCCGCAAGGCAGAGUGGUAGAAGAGCGUUGCAUGCGCGUCGAAGGGCGAUGGCGACUGACCCUGGAGCACAUGCAAGUGAGUAUGCAGACAUGAGUAACGUUAAGCCGGGUGAAAUCCCCGGCCGCCGUAAACCCGAGGUUUCCAGGGCAACGUGUUUCGUCCCUGGGUUAGCCGGGACCUAAGCCGAGGCCGAGAGGCGUAGGCGAUGGACAUCAGGUUAAUAAUCCUGAGCUCGCAACCCUUAAACUGGGGGGACGCAUGAGAAAAGAUGACUAGGUUAUUGAAUUCCGAGUUGAGUCCACGGACUCAGCGCAUCAUUGGAUCGAGUGCCAAGAAAAGCCCCAGCGUAUGCUAAGCGACCCGUACCGCAAACCGACACAGGUGGGUGGGUAGAAUAUACCAAGGCGUAAGAGUGAAACCUGGUUAAGGAACUCGGCAAAUUAGCCCCGUAACUUCGGAAGAAGGGGUGCCUGCAGCGAUGCAGGCCGCAGAGAAAUGGCCCAACCGACUGUUUAUCAAAAACACAGCACUCUGCAAAGACGCAAGUCGAAGUAUAGGGUGUGACACGUGACCAAUGCCGAAAGAUUAAGGCAAGGGGUUAGCCGCAAGGCGAAGCUCUAAACCCAAGUCCCGGUGAAUGUCGGCCGUAACUAUAACGGUCCUAAGGUAGCGAAAUUCCUUGUCGGGUAAGUUCCG